rnacentral:rRNA from 2 species
UCAAGUGAAGAAGCGCAUACGGUGGAUGCCUUGGCAGUCAGAGCCGAUGAAGGACGUGA